GAAUUUUGGGCAAUGGGCGAAAGCCUGACCCAGCAACGCCGCGUGAAGGAUGUAAUCCCUCGGGAUGUAAACUUCAUAAGAACGGGAAGAAUAAGUCGGUGCCAACACCACCGGCGAUGACGGUACCGUUAGUAAGCUCCGGCUAACUCCGUGCCAGCAGCCGCGGUAAUACGGGGGGAGCAAGCGUUGUUCGGAGUUACGGGGCGUAAAGGGCGCGUAGGCGGCCACCGCAAGUCGACUGUGAAAUCUCCGGGCUUAACCCGGAAAGGUCAGCCGAUACUGCGGGGCUAGAGUGCAGAAGGGGCAACUGGAAUUCUCGGUGUAGCGGUGAAAUGCGUAGAUAUCGAGAGGAACACCUGCGGCGAAGGCGGGUUGCUGGGCUGACACUGACGCUGAGGCGCGAAAGCUAGGGGAGCGAACGGG
rnacentral:rRNA from 1 species